CCAGUCCCAAGCUGAGAAAUAGGGAAAAGAUUUCCAUGUGACUGUACCAUUUCUUCACAAUAACAAAUAGAUUCCUAACGUUUUCUUAAAAAACAUUCCUAAUAUUUUUUUUAAAAGUCACCGUAUCAAAACAUCUGUUUUUCCAGAUGCUCAUGCUGUACAUAUAUGUAAAGACAGAACUGGUCUGAGGCAACAUGCAGUUUGCCAGGCUAUCUGGCUACCUUCCACCAAUCCAAUUCUACUCUGCACAGCUGAGGAGAAUGUACUAGGUGUUUUGUUUUUUUGUGUGUGUAUGUGUGUUUUGUGUUUUUUUAAUCAGUAAGAGAAAAAUCUCUUUUUUAUUUUUUAUAAUAAUUUUUUAUUAUGUUAUGUUAGUCACCAUACAGAGAAUGUACUAGGUGUUAACUGUGUGUAUUCCUCUAGAGGUGUAAUUUCUCUACCAAAUUAUUCCAUACCAUGUUUACAUUGAAAGGAGAUGGAAUGUAAAGGCUGGAAAGCACAUCAGGUGGCUGAGUGCCUCCUUCAGCCUUGCAGGAAGCUAGGCAUUUGGAAUAAAUACCUGUUGAGCAUCUAGCAUAUGGCCUGCUACUAAGUAGGCAGUCACUAAAUAUUUGGUGAGUAGUUCAUACCUAUUGAACACAUUUGCCACAAACUUUGAGACCUACAAAACUUACGUAGGGCAAAAUGUGUUUUUCUCUGACUCUUUUUCUCUGACUCUAGUUUUUUGGUCCAGUGGGAUUUAUGAAAAAUUCCAUCUCUCUGUCUGACGAUGAAGAAUGGAAGAGAAUACGAACAUUGCUGUCUCCAACCUUCACCAGUGGAAAGAUCAAAGAGGUGGUGGUGUAUUUUGUGUGUAGAUGCUCCCCAUCAUUGGCCAGUAUGGAGAUAUGUUGGUGAGGAACCUGAGGAAGGAGGCAGAGAAAGGCAAACCUGUCAACUUGAAACACAUCUUUGGGGCCUACAGCAUGGAUGUGAUUACUAGCACAUCGUUUGGAGUGAACAUUGAUUCCCUCAACAACCCACAACAUCCCUUUGUGGAAAAUGCCAAGAAUCUCUUCAGAUUUGAAUUCUUUGAUCCAUUUUUGUUCUUAAUAUGUAUGUACACUAUUGUUUUUUCUUUUCUUUUCUCUUCCCUUCCUUUUUUUCCUUCCUUCCUCCCUCCCUUCCUUCACUUUUUCCUUUCUUUCUACAACAGCUUUAUUAAGAUGCAAUUCAUUUACUAUAUAUAUUACCCUUUUAGAACAUAAAAUUCAGUGGUUUUUAUGGCCUCAGUGUCUUAUCAACGAAUGAAUGUAGAAAAUGUGUGUACACACACACACACACACACACACACACCCCUACAUAGUGAAAUCUGUUGCCAUAAAAGGAAGGGGAUCCUGUAUUUGUGACUAUAUGGAUGGAACUUGAGGGCAUUAUGCUAAGAGAAAUAAGUUAGAGGAAGACAAAUACUGUAUGAUCUUACUUCCAUAUGGAACCAACCCCCCUCCCCAAAACCAACCUCAUACAAAAACAAGAUCAGAUUUGUGGUCACUAGAGGCAGGAGUUGGGGGGUGGGAAUUGAAUGAAGGUGAUGAAAAGGUACAAAGUUUCAGUUAUAGUAUAAACAAAUACUGGCUUGUAAUAUACAACAGGAUGAGUAUGGUUAACAUUGCUAUAUUUUGUGUUUGGAAGUUGCUAAGAGAGUAGAUCCCAGUAGUUCUCAUCACAAGGAUUAAAAAUGUCUGUUUUUGUAAAUACAUGAGAUGAUGGACAUCUUAUUGUGGUAACCAUCUCUUGAUACAUGUAUGUCAAAGCAUUAUUCAGUACACCUUAACUUGUACAAUACUGUAUGUCUGUAAACUCAAACGGAAAAAACUGGUUUUGGCGCUUUCAAAGAUAUGUGCAACCAUUACUGUAGUCAAUUAUUAGACUAUUGUUGUCAACUCAGAAAUCUAUAUAUAUAUUUUUUUUUUUUUUUACUAUCACGGCCUACUUUCCUUAGUCCUGAGCAACCAGUAAUCUACUUUCUGUCUUAAUAGAUUUGCCUCUUCUGGACUCUUCAUACAGAUGGAAUCAUAGAACAUCUGAUCUUUGUGGCUCCUUCCUUCAUUUAGCAUCAUGUUUUUAAGAUUCAUCCUUGUUGUAGCAUGAAUCAGUACUUUAUUUCUUUUUAUGGCCAAAAAUAUUCCAUUAUGUGGACAUACUGCAUUUUAUUUAUCCU